GACGAACGCUGGCGGCGUGCUUAACACAUGCAAGUCGAACGGUGAAGCGCCUUCCUUUUUGGUGGGUGUGGAUGAGUGGCGAACGGGUGAGUAACACGUGAGUAACCUGCCCCCUUCUUCUGGAUAACCGCAUGAAAGUGUGGCUAAUACGGGAUAUUCUGGGUCUGUCGCAUGAUGGGUCUGGGAAAGAUAUUGUUUCGGUGGGGGAUGGGCUCGCGGCCUAUCAGCUUGUUGGUGGGGUGAUGGCCUACCAAGGCGGUGACGGGUAGCCGGCCUGGGAGGGUGGACGGUCACACUGGGACUGAGACACGGACCCGACUCCUACGGGAGGCAGCAGUGGAGAAUAUUGCACGGUGGGCGCAAGCCUGAUGCAGCGCCGCCGCGUGAGGGAUGGAGGCCUUCGGGUUGUGAACCUCUUUCGCCAGUGAAGCAGGCCUGCCUCGUUUGUGGGUGGGUUGACGGUAGCUGGAUAAGAAGCGCCGGCUAACUACGUG
rnacentral:rRNA from 1 species